CCUACGGGGGGCAGAAGUGGGGAAUCUUGCGCAAUGGGCGAAAGCCUGACGAAGCCAUGCCGCGGGAAUGAUGAAGGUCUUAGGAGGGUAAAAGGCGGGCAAAGGGGACGAGAAGGACGGUACCCGGAGAAGAAGCCCCGGCUAACUUCGUGCCAGCAGCCGCGGUAAUACGAAGGGGGCUAGCGUUGCUCGGAAUUACUGGGCGUAAAGGGCGCGUAGGCGGACAUUUAAGUCAGGGGUGAAAUCCCAGAGCUCAACUCUGGAACUGCCUUUGAUACUGGGUGUCUUGAGUGUGAGAGAGGUAUGUGGAACUCCGUGUGUAGAGGUGAAAUUCGUAGAUAUUCGGAAGAACACCAGUGGCGAAGGCGACAUACUGGCUCAUUACUGACGCUGAGGCGCGAAAGCGUGGGGAGCAAACAGGAUUAGAUACCCCGGUAGUC
rnacentral:rRNA from 1 species